CCUACGGGUGGCAGCAGUGAGGAAUAUUGGUCAAUGGGCGAGAGCCUGAACCAGCCAAGUCGCGUGAAGGAUGACGGCCCUACGGGUUGUAAACUUCUUUUGUCAGGGAGCAAUUGAGUCCACGUGUGGGCUUAGCGAGAGUACCUGAAGAAAAAGCAUCGGCUAACUCCGUGCCAGCAGCCGCGGUAAUACGGAGGAUGCGAGCGUUAUCCGGAUUUACGGGGCGUAAAGGGCGUGCAGGCGGCUGAGUAAGACAGAUGUGAAAUCCCCGGGCUUAACCUGGGAACCGCAUAUGAGACUGCUUGGCUAGAGUGCGUCAGAGGGAGGUGGAAUUCGACGUGUAGCAGUGAAAUGCGUAGAUAUGAGGAAGAACACCGAUGGCGAAGGCAGCCUCCUGGGACGCAACUGACGCUCAUGCACGAAAGCGUGGGGAGCAAACAGGAUUAGAUACCCGGGUAGUC
rnacentral:rRNA from 1 species